rnacentral:rRNA from 1 species
GAUUUUCAGCGAAGUUCCGAGAUUGGAUUGGCUGGCUGCACAGAAAGAGCGUGUAGCGGGUUGAUUGAAACAGAAUUUGCCUGGCGGCCAUAGCGCGGUGGACCCACCUGAAUCCAUGCCGAACUCAGAAGUGAAACGCCGUAGCGCCGAUGGUAGUGUGGGGUCUCCCCAUGCGAGAGUAGGACACUGCCAGGCAUCAAA